GAUGAACGCUAGCGGCAGGCUUAAUACAUGCAAGUCGAGGGGUAGCAAGAUUGUAGCAAUACAAUUGUUGACGACCGGCAAACGGGUGCGGCACACGUACACAACCUUCCUACAAGUGGGGAAUAGCCCAGAGAAAUUUGGAUUAAUACCCCGUAACAUAGCGAUGUGGCAUCACAUUGCUAUUAUAGCUUCGGCGCUUGUAGAUGGGUGUGCGGCUGAUUAGAUAGUUGGCGGGGUAACGGCCCACCAAGUCUACGAUCAGUAGCUGAUGUGAGAGCAUGAUCAGCCACACGGGCACUGAGACACGGGCCCGACGCCUACGGGAGGCAGCAGUAAGGAAUAUUGGACAAUGGACGCAAGUCUGAUCCAGCCAGGCCGCGUGAAGGAUUAAGGUCCUCUGGAUUGUAAACUUCUUUUAUAAGGGACGAAAAAAGGUCUUUCUAGAUCGUCUGACGGUACCUUAUGAAUAAGCACCGGCUAACUCCGUGCCAGCCGCCGCGGUAAGAC
rnacentral:rRNA from 1 species